GACAGAGGGUGCAAACGUUGUUCGGAAUUACUGGGCGUAAAGCGAGUGUAGGCGGUUUGAUAAGUCUGUCGUGAAAGCCCCGGGCUCAACCUGGGAAUGGCGAUGGAUACUGGCGGGCUAGAGUGCGGUAGAGGAGAGUGGAAUUCCCGGUGUAGCAGUGAAAUGCGUAGAGAUCGGGAGGAACAUCAGUUGCGAAGGCGGCUCUCUGGACCAGCACUGACACUGAGGCACGAAAGCGUGGGGAGCAAAUAGG
rnacentral:rRNA from 1 species